AAAGACAUGCAAGUUUUGCAAAAUCACACAAGGUUUCGAUAAAUGAAUAUUGCAUAUUUAUAAACCAUUUUGCGACAUGAUUUUAACAAACUCAAAUGGUUUACGAAAAGAUUAUGCUAAACAUACCGGUUUAUAAAAAUAUUAGUGUUUUUCGAAACAUGCAUGAGUUUUAAUAACACGAAUGGCGUGGGCAAAGGCCCAAGGACAUGGGCAGAGGCCCAAGGACAUGAAUAACUCUCACAUUAUACGUUAACUAGGGUAUGGUUAAGCUAGGGAAUGAACUGUUAGAUCAGACCGAGGGCAAAAGUGGUAGAUCUAUCGGGUGUAGCGAGCCCUACUCUUGGGUCCUUGUGUGGCCCAUGUAGUGCUUUUGUUGUUCUAACCGGGUGGACCGGGGGAAAUCCGCUAGGGUUGAGUGCUUCCUAUGUCGCCACACAUAUUAAUGUCCUUGCAAAACAUUAAUGAUCUGUUCAUAGACGCUUACAUACCAGUUUUAAUACUCAGAUUUCCAAAUGUUUUUAAGAUUCAUUUGAAGUAAACUCACAAAUACAUGGAUUUACAAACUUUGGUAACGUUUUUCAAACUAUACCUAAGUAAG
rnacentral:lncRNA from 1 species